AACGUAGGAGGCGAGCGUUAUCCGGAGUUACUGGGCGUAAAGAGCGUGUAGGCGGGUAGGCAAGUUUGGCGUGAAAGCUCCCGGCUAAACUGGGAGAGUGCGCUGAAGACUGCGUAUCUAGAGGCGAGUAGAGGGACGUGGAAUUCCGGGAGUAGUGGUGAAAUGCGUAGAGAUCCGGAGGAACACCAGUGGCGAAGGCGACGUCCUGGGCUUGACCUGACGCUGAGACGCGACAGCACGGGGAGCGAACGGG
rnacentral:rRNA from 1 species